rnacentral:lncRNA from 1 species
GGUGUGUGCAUAAAUAAUUAGAAUGUGACAUAGAGUACCUAGAGAGGUGCAUGGGGUGCUGUGCAGAGAUGUAUAGAGUGGGCAAGAAAUGACUCCUCCCAGGUGACUGAAAACAAAAUAGGAAGUCUCCUCGCAUGCUCACACCAUGUUGUACAACGGAACUUUGCAAAUGCUGUUUCCUCUGAUAAUACCUUCUCCCGGAUAUCUGCAUGCCCUGCUCCAUCAUUUCCUUCUGACCCAAAGGCACAUUAUCAGUGAAGUCCCUCCCAACCACUCUUCAAGAUGGUACUGUCUCACUUGCCCUUAGUCCUCCUUGCCCAUUAGUAAGAAAUGAAUGCAUACCAAUCAGAUGUCUGUGCAGUAGGUCUGGAGGGAAGAUACAGUGUCUCCGCUGAAGGAAACCUAUCAAAUCUGAAAUCCUGCACCGUCUGACAGGCGUUAAUGCAUUGUAGGAAAGGAAGCAAAAUAAUCUCUUUAAAAGGAUACCCCAUAAGCCUCACUUAUUUAGCUUGAUUGAAGGAUAAAUGUUGCUUAUCUUUCAUAUGUUUUUGCUAUUUCUUUUCUCUUAUUUUAGAAUUAAGUACUGGGUAUAUAUAAAAGGUUACUUAUGAAAUAUGUCUAAGGUGAAAUAUGUCUAAAGUGAAAAACAAUACAAAAAUCCUAUGCUCCUGCUACCUAGAUUAAGCACUGCAACAUGACCCAUUGCUUCUGGAAUGUUCUCUACCUGCCCUUCUCCUUCACCCUCUGAGGGAACCACCAGCCUGAAUGUAAUGCUUAUCAAGCACUGAGAAAGGAGUUUAAAGAAUUGAAGGACACAGCUUUACUAAAACUCAC